rnacentral:rRNA from 1 species
GACGAACGCUGGCGGCGUGCUUAACACAUGCAAGUCGAACGGAAAGGCCCUGCUUUUGUGGGGUGCUCGAGUGGCUAACGGGUGAGUAACACGUGAGUAACCUGCCCUUGACUUUGGGAUAACUUCAGGAAACUGGGGCUAAUACCGGAUAGGAGCUCCUGCUGCAUGGUGGGGGUUGGAAAGUUUCGUCGGUUGGGGAUGGACUCGCGGCUUAUCAGCUUGUUGGUGGGGUAGUGGCUUACCAAGGCUUUGACGGGUAGCCGGCCUGAGAGGGUGACCGGCCAAAUUGGGACUGAGAUACGGCCCAGACUCCUACGGGAGGCAGCAGUGGGGAAUAUUGCACAAUGGGCGGAAGCCUGAUGCAGCAACGCCGCGUGCGGGAUGACGGCCUGCGGGUUGUAAACCGCUUUCGCCUGUGACGAAGCGUGAGUGACGGUAAUGGGUAAAGAAGCACCGGCUAACUACGUG